AGCAGCCGCGGUAAUUCCAGCUCCAAUAGCGUAUAUUAAAGUUGUUGUGGUUAAAAAGCUCGUAGUUGAACCUUGGGCCUGGCUGGCCGGUCCGCCUCACCGCGUGUACUGGUCCGGCCGGGCCUUUCCCUCUGUGGAACCCCAUGCCCUUCACUGGGUGUGGCGGGGAAACAGGACUUUUACUUUGAAAAAAUUAGAGUGCUCCAGGCAGGCCUAUGCUCGAAUACAUUAGCAUGGAAUAAUGAAAUAGGACGUGCGGUUCUAUUUUGUUGGUUUCUAGGACCGCCGUAAUGAUUAAUAGGGACAGUCGGGGGCAUCAGUAUUCAAUUGUCAGAGGUGAAAUUCUUGGAUUUAUUGAAGACUAACUACUGCGAAAGCAUUUGCCAAGGAUGUUUUCAUUAAUCAAGAACGAAAGUUAGGGGAUCGAAGACGAUCAGGUACCGUCGUAGUCUUAACCAUAAACUAUGCCGACUAGGGAUCGGAUGAUGUUAAUUUUAUAAUGACUCA
rnacentral:rRNA from 1 species